AUUGAACGCUGGCGGCAGGCCUAACACAUGCAAGUCGAGCGGAUGAAGGGAGCUUGCUCCUGGAUUCAGCGGCGGACGGGUGAGUAAUGCCUAGGAAUCUGCCUGGUAGUGGGGGAUAACGUCUGGAAACGGGCGCUAAUACCGCAUACAUCCUGAGGGAGAAAGUGGGGGAUCUUCGGACCUCACGCUAUCAGAUGAGCCUAGGUCGGAUUAGCUAGUUGGUGGGGUAAAGGCCUACCAAGGCGACGAUCCGUAACUGGUCUGAGAGGAUGAUCAGUCACACUGGAACUGAGACACGGUCCAGACUCCUACGGGAGGCAGCAGUGGGGAAUAUUGGACAAUGGGCGAAAGCCUGAUCCAGCCAUGCCGCGUGUGUGAAGAAGGUCUUCGGAUUGUAAAGCACUUUAAGUUGGGAGGAAGGGCAGUAAGUUAAUACCUUGCUGUUUUGACGUUACCAACAGAAUAAGCACCGGCUAACUUCGUG
rnacentral:rRNA from 1 species